rnacentral:rRNA from 1 species
UUUAUGGAGAGUUUGAUCCUGGCUCAGGAUGAACGCUGGCGGCGUGCCUAAUACAUGCAAGUCGAGCGAACGGACGAGAAGCUUGCUUCUCUGAUGUUAGCGGCGGACGGGUGAGUAACACGUGGAUAACCUACCUAUAAGACUGGGAUAACUUCGGGAAACCGUAG